rnacentral:piRNA from 1 species
UGNGUAGUUCUGCUGUAGGAAAAGGCUC